UAACAAGGUAGCCGUAUCGGAAGGUGCGGCUGGAUCACCUCCUUUCUA
rnacentral:rRNA from 1 species